AGCAGUCUUUGGGGCAGGGUGCAAUUCCCUACCGGCGGUAAAGCCCGCGAGCAAUUAUUUGCAUGAUUUGGUGAAAUUCCAAAGCCGACAGUAUAGUCUGGAUGAGAAAAGAUGGAA
rfam:Megamonas hypermegale ART12/1 draft genome.